UUGACUUGUCCACCGCUUUUAGAUCCGUCGUCUCCUGUAUGAUUUUCUUGCUUCCAUGUCCGAGAUCAGAGAUUCAGAGCAGACCGCAGCCGCCUCAAAGGGCGUAGAGGCGGUAGGACGGCUGAGACCCGUAUAAUUUCUCCUCCUGCUUGGUGACCCAAGCGGGUGUCGAGAGAUUGGCGUUGGCGGAUGGAGUCGGCAAGCAUUUGGAGGCUGGAAGAAUGUUCAUUGCGACAAUCUCCGUGCGAUUUAGACCUUUAAUUUCAAGUGAGAAAAGCGGUUAUGGAGACAUUAUAUGCUUUCAGGCCUUAGAUGCAAAGUCCUUUCUGUUCAAGGAUGAGAAGGUGGAUGAUAUUCUCUUUUGCUUUGAUAAAGUCUUCUACCCAGAUCGUGCACAAGCAGAUGUCUAUGAGUUCCUUGCUAUGCCCAUAAUUGGAGGUCGGGACUGAUUGCAGAAAUAGAUGCCUUGGAUGGUAUAAAUGGAAUGAUCAUGACUUAUGGACAAGUGAGCUGCAGUUUAACUAAAGCUACUCAUAAUAGAUGUUUAAGUGUACUUACCAUUGUUAUCCUUCAAUUUUAAUGUUUUUCUCAUUUAUAUCCCUGCACAGGUUUCAGGUGCCUCAUCAUUUAAUCACAUAUUUGUGUACAUAUAAAUCCAUAAUUCCAUUUAUCUACUUUAGAUAAAAACGAGUUUUGAUACAGAUAUUCAAAAACAUGCUUAGCAGAAAAUCUGUGUGAUGAGCAGAAGUUGUGAAUAACAAGGUGUACUGUUGGCAGCUGUACUGACUUUUUGUUUUUGAUCAUAAAUUCUAAAGUUGAUAUUAUUAAUUACUUGUAUGAACUUUAAUUUCCACUGGCACUGGCAGUACUCUCAAAACUUGAUAGCUUUGUGUUGUUCUGAAGAAUAUCCUGAUAUUCAAAUGGAAAAUAUAAUUGUUCACCCUA